rnacentral:piRNA from 1 species
ACUUGACACUUCUGAUAUCUCCUCGUUGA